CAACCCCACGAGGGAAACCUAACCUCAAAAACCCAGCCUCAGUUUGGGUUGCAGGUUGCAACUCGCCUGCAUGAAGCCGGAACCGCUAGUAAUCGUCGGUCAUCCAUACGGCGGUGAAUCCAUUCCCGGGCCUUGUACACACCGCCUGUCACACUAUGGGAGCUGGCCAUGCCCCAAUUCAUUACCUUAACCGCAAGGAGGGGGAUGUCGAAGGCUGGGUUAGUGACUGGAGUGAAGUCGUAACAAGGUAGUUGUACUGGAAGGUGCAGCUAGAUCACCUCCUUU
rnacentral:ncRNA from 1 species